rnacentral:rRNA from 1 species
UACAGAGACUGCAAGCGUUAUUCGGAUUCACUGGGCGUAAAGGGUGCGCAGGCGGUCGGGUGUGUCAGAUGUGAAAUCCCGAGGCUCAACCUCGGAACUGCGUCUGAAACUACUCGACUAGAGUACUGGAGAGGGUAAUGGAAUUCACGGUGUAGCAGUGAAGUGCGUAGAUAUCGUGAGGAACACCAGAGGCGAAGGCGGUUACCUGGACAGUUACUGACGCUCAGGCACGAAAGCAUGGGGAGCAAAAGGG